UUCUCUUGUAUCAAAUCAAGCUCGGAUAUGAAGCGUUGGAUGAACAUAUGCGUCGUUUGAGGGCUUUGGCUGAUCCCUUCAUGAACAAAUUUUCUGCGUGUCGUCCAGAUAAAUCAUAGGGUAAUCGUCAAACGAACAAAAUCUGCAUGGGCUAACGUCUCCAUUAGUGAAAAGAUCCAAUACUUUGCCCUUGGUUCAGUUACAGAGACCAGCCAGUCUACAAAAUCUCUAGCUUCCAGAGCCCAAACACAUCGUGCCAUCGAGCACUCGAUGAGGGAAUGUCUCGCAAGAGCUAGUGGUCGACAUGUGCAGUGU
rnacentral:lncRNA from 1 species